CAAAAACAUGUCCUUUUGAUUAUAAUUUAAGGUCAGGCCUGCCCAAUGAUUAUUUAAAUGGCCGCAGUAUAUUGACUGUGCAAAGGUAGCAUAAUCAUUAGUUUCCUAAUUAGAAGCUGGAAUGAAUGGUUCGAUGAAAAAUUAACUGUCUCGGAAUAGAUGUAUUAGAAUUUUAUUUUUAAGUGAGAAAGCUUAAAUUUUUUAAAAAGACGAGAAGACCCUAUAGAGUUUGAUGUUUAUUUAGUUAAAUAUUUUAGGGUUUUUAUUAUAUUUUACUUUUGUUAGCAUUUUGUUGGGGUGACAUAAAAAUUUAUUUAACUUUUUAUUAUUUUUACAUUGAUUAAUGAGUAUUUGAUCCUAUUUUUUAGAUUAUAAGAUAAAAUUACCUUAGGGAUAACAGCGUAAUUUCUUCUGAAAGUUCUUAUUGAUGAAGAAGUUUGCGACCUCGAUGUUGGAUUAAAAUUUAUUUUUGGUGUAGCAGCUAAAAUAUUGGGUCUGUUCGACCCUUGAAAUUUUACAUGAUCU
rnacentral:rRNA from 1 species